rnacentral:piRNA from 1 species
UCCCUCAACUCAGCCACCAAAGGCAUACAC